AAACAAAUUCAAGGCCAUUACUACCACUGCAGACCAAAAUAACUUAGGUCUGAGAGACCCCCUUAGAAAGAUACAAUGCCUUCCUCAUCUAAAGGGAGCUAAUACCAGAGUGAUCUCGGCGCUCGCGCAGUUUUGAGAGAGGGUCCCGAAAACCGCCGGAGGCCAGGUGUCGCGGACGGGCCCCGGGCUAAACUCUCGUCUGGCGAAGUGAAGAGCGCAAAGUCUCCAGGCCCAGCGCGCCUUCGCGGGGCAGGCCGGACACCCUAGCCCCGGGCCGGGCUCGCUCUUCUCUGAAGCCCUGGAGCGGGCAAGGGGCACCAUUCUGGCCACAGGAACUCUAGUUUCAGCAGCCGCAGCCCGCCAGCGCUGGCUCGGACCGGGGCCUCCUCUGGGAGAGUAGGAGAGCGAAAAAAUCAACCACCACCUUGGAUUUCAGAUCGAGGAAAGGAAGCCAAAGCAAAGGUGUGGUUACACAGGACAUCCAUAGACAAAUCGUUGCCUCUCUAAGUGGGCCUGAGCUUUGCGGCUCCAGAAGCGCGAGGCGCGGUUGGUGCGGACGCGGGGGCGUGGGAGUCAUCGCUCUCCCCGCAGCCCUGGCCGAGCUCUCUGCUGUCCUCCCGAGUUUGGGCCAGAGACCACGGCUCACUCCCUAACGCCCUCGCAAGGACGGCUGCCCGUCGGGCCAAGGGCGCCCCGGGCUGGAGGCCGGAGCAAGACGGCCCCGCGGGACUCGGGAGCCUUGGUAAGGCGGAGGCUCAGACCCCGUUCACGAAAACGCCUGGCUCCUCCAGGAUUUGUCAGGUCUUAAGCAGCUCCGAGAAGGCUCCGCUGGCUCUUGGGGAACCCCGCUGUGCGGCUCACCCCCGUUUGUCUCUCUCAAGCUCUCGCCCUCCUCCCCUGGUCCUCCCUUCUCCAGAUCCCCUGCCCUGCCCGAGGUCCGGGCCGCGCGGGCUGAGCCCAAUACGCCCGGAGAAGAGCGCCGGAGCCCCCUGCUGGCCGGACGCGGCAGGCGCGGCGGCCCGCUCGGUCCCCUCCGCCCCGCGGGCUCUGCCCAGCCCGGACCCGCCUCCACCCUCCAGUGCCCUGGCGCUGGGGGCGUGCUAAAAGCAACAGAAAACAAAACAAAAACAAACAAAGCGCCAAACCCCACUCUCACCUCUUCUACUGGUCAAAGAAAUUUGAGGAACUUAUAAUGAAACCAAGUAAUGAAUCACUAAAUAAUGAAAUCGCCAAAUAAUGAAAUCACCAACUGGAAAUUAGAAGUAAAUGGUCAUAGCAAACCCUAACCAGGUGGUUUCCCUGCACAAGCCCUCUUCUUUUGUGUGGCACCAUGUGAGAUGUGCCUUUCACCUUCCACCAUGAUUGUCAGACCUCCCCAGCCACAUGGAACCAGACUCCUCAGAGGCCAAAAAUGAUUCCCCGACUGGCCUAAGCAAAACCAUAAUGGAAGUUAAGCUGUUGGCACAGAGAAGCAAACAAGCAGCAGGAAUCUAGAUGUUCAUCUUUUCCUUUGUGAAGUCCAUACUGUGUGCAAGAUCCAUGGUUAAGAUGAUAGAGGGAGUGGGCUUAGGUCUCAUCCUAUGAGCUUGUGCUGAUUUGCUGAUUUACAUAUCUCCACUGGCGAAAAUCAUAUCUGUUCCUUAGGUCCAAUUUUCAAGUUCCAAGCAUUGGCAGUGUGACCACAAAUAUCUAUGAUCUGAUGCUUUAUUUGAUUUUUGUGUGUUUGUUUUAAUGGAAGUGUAGAAAGGGAGGGAAGAAGGGAGGGGAAUAUUUGAUUUGCUGUCUAGCCAACACAAUUCUAAAAAGCAUUAAGUGGAAACUGCUACAAGUGUUUAUUUUCUAACUCUUUCUGGUAUAAUGGGAACAGUCAAGAUCUGAACAAGAGUCGAUAUAAGGUUUGCGGUUUAUGAUAAGCAUAUCAGCCAGUGGAUAGACUAAACCCCAGUGACAGCUGUGAUGGUUCUUGGAAUCAGACAUCCUUCAAUAACAUGUUUCCCCAAAGCUUAUAGACAUUGUUGUAGAAUAGGGUCAAGGCUUAUGGCAGAUGUUGAAUGUCUCUGAGCUAUAUGAAAUUUCUCUCUGUGGAUUCGUGCCUAACAACCAUUACAUCAAACCACAGGUACAAUGAAGCCCAUUUUCCUUUUUGACGUGAUACUGUUGUUAUUUUAGAGGCAAAGCCUUAUGCUAUUGCUAGCUGAAAAAGACACUAAAAGCCAAAAGAGUGCAGGCACAGAAUUGGGAACAAUUGGGCUAUAGUGACCAUGAAAACAUAAAGCAAUGAUUUUACCCAGCACAAACCAUGUAGGUCAUUACAGUAUGGUGUCUUGGAACAAGGACACCUAAAAUAACAAUGAUCAUUGCUUAAAAAAAUUAAUUUUGUGGAAAUUCUUAUAAUGUUAACAUACUUCAUAGAUAUGAUUCUACCCAACUGUGACCUUUGUUAUGAUAGCAAAUGAUCAUUUUUUUCAUAGAAAAAGAAAACUCGACUGCUUAAUUGAUUGAUUCAUUAAAAGAAAUCUUGUAAUUGAACUAUCAUGCCAAGUUUACUAUGAGCAUCUGAUAAAAGAAAGUAAGAUGAUAAACAGCAACGGGUCAGAUGGCUUCCAAAUAUCAGUGAACGUCCAUAAUACCUAUUGAACUACUUGUAAUUCAUCAAUAAAUACUGGAUGGAUAGAAAUACCCUUGGUAAUGUGGAUAAAGUUAAAGGAAGUAAAAGUAAAAUUUCUGUACUCACUAGGCAUUCUUGGAAAAACUAAAUUUAUUUUAAGAAUAGUAACAGGAAAAUUGUAAGAAAAUACUAAGAAACAAAAAUUACAGGGCUGACUCAAAUUAUUAAUAAUGUUAAUAUAUAAAGCUGCCAUCUUAAUAGUUUAUAAAAAUGUUAUAUGUUAUCUCAUUUUAUAAGCACAAUAAUAAAAUGACUUGCCUCUCAUCAAUAUCAUACUCCUAUCAGAUCCUGGGUGAUAAUCCUAUCUUCCCGCCACCAGAGUACUCUUCUUUCCACACUUUUCUAUCAGUGAGCGACAGAAAAAAUUUAGAAAAGUUCAGUAGAAAAAUACACCUGAAAUUUGAUUACAGGAUGUAAAUGCCUUUGACCCUGAAUAUCAGAUAUGAUUUGCUCUCCAGGAUUUGUUGACCUUUGGUGGAAAAUAAUCUACCAGACCUUGUGAAGAACCAGGAGAAGGGUAACAGACAUCUAGCUGCUUGAUUCUAGUUCCAUUAAAGACUACUUCAAGGAGGAAGAAGAGUUUUCCUGAAAAUUGGCCAGAGGCCCCAGUUCACAGAAGUCCCUUUGCAGGUUGGCCUCUUUGUCUCCUACAUGGAAGGAAACUAUCAUCAUGUGUCCUCAAACCCCUGCAAUCCUGUCACUUUGCAAGAUGUAUCUAGCAGUUACCAAAAAAAAAAAAAAUGAAAUGGAUAUUCUACAAACUGCUAGAGAACAGAUGUCUUGAAUAGGCAAGACAAUACUCACAUGAUAUAUGGUUUACUUUUUCCUGAUGCGUUGUUUUGUUUUUGGUUCAGCGAAUAAAACAUACAUUCUCCUACGCGCAUUCUCAAGGACCAGAAGCAUUAUUUUAAAAAGUUCCUCCCAGGCUGGGCACAGUGGCUCACACCUGUAACCCCAGUACGUUGGGAGGCCAAGGCAGGUGGAUCACUUGAAGUCAGGAGUUCGAGACCAGCCUGACCAACAUGGUGAAACCCCGUCUCUACUAAAAAUACAAAAAUUAGCUGGGCAUGGUGGCACACACUUGUAAUCCCAGCUGCUUACGAGACUGAGGCAGGAGAAUCCCUUGAACCCAGGAGGUGGAGUUUGCGGUGAGCUGGGAUUGCGCCACUGCACUGCAGCCUGGGAGACAGAGCAAGACUCUGUCUAAAAUUAAUAAAUAAAUUAAUUAAUAAUCUAUUUUCAAGCAGAAAGGAAUAUCCAGUUUUUAAAACAUAUUCUGCAAUGUUAUUUGUCACAAAAAUAUUUAUAUAAUAGUGUACAUUUUUAUUUUUCUUUGUACUUAAUUUUUCUAAGUAUCAUUCUAAAUAUGGGAAUAAAUCAUUGCAAAGCAUUACAUUUGAAUAGUUUAGCAACAUUAGCCAGUAAUCUCAAAAUAUUGUUUAACUUCGACUUUUUUGUGACCAUUUAAAAAAGAAGUAUGCGUUUAAGUUACUACAUGAUGUACUCUAUGCCUGCUGUAAUCCUAUUAACAAAGUUUUUAAUUCUAGAAAAUAAUAGAAAGCCUAACAUUUUACUUCCUUUUAAAAAAACAUAAUAUUACAUAUAUAAAACUUUAUCAGAGUUAAUAUGAUAAGCUAAGCAGAAAAGUUUAAUAUUAUUUAUGGUUUCAUGAUGUGUAACAUGGUAAUUUGGGCCUUACCUAGUAAUAAACCUAGUUCAAAUCCAAGUUUU
rnacentral:lncRNA from 1 species